rnacentral:rRNA from 1 species
UACGUAGGGGGCAAGCGUUGUCCGGAUUUAUUGGGCGUAAAGGGCUCGUAGGCGGUUUGUCGCGUCGGGAGUGAAAACCUUGGGCUUAACUCAGGGCUUGCUUUCGAUACGGGCAGACUAGAGGUAUGCAGGGGAGAACGGAAUUCCUGGUGUAGCGGUGAAAUGCGCAGAUAUCAGGAGGAACACCGGUGGCGAAGGCGGCUCACUGGCCCGGUACUGACGCUGAGGCACGAAAGCGUGGGGAGCAAACAGG